GCAGAUUCUCACUUGUAGUGUCAUGCUGAAUUGUCUUGUAUCGCUUGUAUUUUUCAUUCUGUAUUAUCUCUUUUUCUGCAGAUUUUCACUUAUAGUGUCAUGCUGAAUUGUCUUGUAUCGCUUGUAUUUUUCACUCUGUAUUAUCUCUUUUUCUGCAGAUUCUCACUUGUAGUGUCAUGCUGAAUUGUUUUGUAUCGCUUGUAUUUUCACUCUGUAUUUUGUCCUUUGAGACCGGUUAUCGCCGGUAGCUUCUUACUGCAGUUACUAUUAUAUCGCUUGCAUUUGUCAUACUGUAUUUCCCAUGUAUGCUUGAUUAUCAUUUGUAGCUUUAGCUUCAUUUGUUUCGGUAUGGCUUGCAUUUCUCAAGUCUGCAUAUUUUGCAUUUAGAAUCUUCUUAAGUUCAGUUAGGCCUGAAUGUAGUUUGUGGUUUAUGCUGCAAUAGAUUUUGUAGUGCUUGUAUUUCUCAUUGUUGUGUAGUAUUUUCUUGAUAUAAAUUGUAUUAUCCCUGUACUACCGCAUUGUUAUUGUAGUAUGCUUUCCCAGACCCUACAGGGUUCAUGCAGCCUCAGUGCUAAAAAUUCAAGCACUUUUCAAGCACAUUUUUCUGAAUUUUCAAGCACUUUUCAAGCACUUUCAAGAGCCUUUUGGAAGCAGUUUUGCGCGAGAUUCAAGAAAUUUUUCCACAGGACCUUUGACAUGAAAACUCCUAAUAGCGAGACAGAUAUCAACAACCAACUAAAAUGAGUAUUUUCCUCUAAUUAAAAAAUACACGGAUGUAAGUAUAAAUGAAAGACCAUCCCAAGUAUCAGUACCAAUACUGACAACCCAGUAAGUAAAUACCUCUAAAUUCUAAGCAAAAAAAAGUAAAAUCCUGGCUCACCGCAUAAGUUUUCGACCAACUACCCAUCCAUACUUACACCUGAAUGUUUUAUUCCAAUUUAUUCAAAACGUUGGUUUAAAAAUAAAAAGAAAAAUAAAUGAUAAUAAUAAAUAAAUAUCUUACCUUCAUAUUCAUUGAGACAACGUUAAUCAUUAAGAAGUGAUGGAUAUCGAUAGGUAUAAGAUGGGCUGAAGAUGGUGCAACUUAUGAAAGAGUUAAUAGAAAAUCUGCAUGCUACCCGAUGGAUUAAAUUCAUGAGAAUAGUAGGGUACUCGGACAAGAAGCUCAAAAUUGAAGAUUCAUUCUUGAUAAAGCUGAAGCAAGAUGUUUUCUGAUAGUCUUUCACUACUGUAAAAAUAUUUGAAUUUUAAAAGUGGGAUUUCUUAAUUUGAAGCUACACGUAAGGAGUAUGUCUGGAGUAUGGAACGGCACAUCAUUUGAAAAAAGAGUCUUUAUGAACACUAAAAAACCG